GGGUUGUGAGGUUAAGCGACUAAGCGUACACGGUGGAUGCCCUGGCAGUCAGAGGCGAUGAAGGACGUGCUAAUCUGCGAUAAGCGUCGGUGAGGUGAUAUGAACCGUUAUAACCGGCGAUUUCCGAAUGGGGAAACCCAGUGUGUUUCGACACACUAUCAUUAACUGAAUCCAUAGGUUAAUGAGGCGAACCGGGGGAACUGAAACAUCUAAGUACCCCGAGGAAAAGAAAUCAACCGAGAUUCCCCCAGUAGCGGCGAGCGAACGGGGAGGAGCCCAGAGCCUGAAUCAGUGUGUGUGUUAGUGGAAGCGUCUGGAAAGGCGCGCGAUACAGGGUGACAGCCCCGUACACAAAAAUGCACAUACUGUGAGCUCGAUGAGUAGGGCGGGACACGUGGUAUCCUGUCUGAAUAUGGGGGGACCAUCCUCCAAGGCUAAAUACUCCUGACUGACCGAUAGUGAACCAGUACCGUGAGGGAAAGGCGAAAAGAACCCCGGCGAGGGGAGUGAAAAAGAACCUGAAACCGUGUACGUACAAGCAGUGGGAGCCUCUUAAUGGGGUGACUGCGUACCUUUUGUAUAAUGGGUCAGCGACUUAUAUUCUGUAGCAAGGUUAACCGAAUAGGGGAGCCGAAGGGAAACCGAGUCUUAACUGGGCGUUAAGUUGCAGGGUAUAGACCCGAAACCCGGUGAUCUAGCCAUGGGCAGGUUGAAGGUUGGGUAACACUAACUGGAGGACCGAACCGACUAAUGUUGAAAAAUUAGCGGAUGACUUGUGGCUGGGGGUGAAAGGCCAAUCAAACCGGGAGAUAGCUGGUUCUCCCCGAAAGCUAUUUAGGUAGCGCCUCGUGAAUUCAUCUCCGGGGGUAGAGCACUGUUUCGGCAAGGGGGUCAUCCCGACUUACCAACCCGAUGCAAACUGCGAAUACCGGAGAAUGUUAUCACGGGAGACACACGGCGGGUGCUAACGUCCGUCGUGAAGAGGGAAACAACCCAGACCGCCAGCUAAGGUCCCAAAGUCAUGGUUAAGUGGGAAACGAUGUGGGAAGGCCCAGACAGCCAGGAUGUUGGCUUAGAAGCAGCCAUCAUUUAAAGAAAGCGUAAUAGCUCACUGGUCGAGUCGGCCUGCGCGGAAGAUGUAACGGGGCUAAACCAUGCACCGAAGCUGCGGCAGCGACACUAUGUGUUGUUGGGUAGGGGAGCGUUCUGUAAGCCUGCGAAGGUGUGCUGUGAGGCAUGCUGGAGGUAUCAGAAGUGCGAAUGCUGACAUAAGUAACGAUAAAGCGGGUGAAAAGCCCGCUCGCCGGAAGACCAAGGGUUCCUGUCCAACGUUAAUCGGGGCAGGGUGAGUCGACCCCUAAGGCGAGGCCGAAAGGCGUAGUCGAUGGGAAACAGGUUAAUAUUCCUGUACUUGGUGUUACUGCGAAGGGGGGACGGAGAAGGCUAUGUUGGCCGGGCGACGGUUGUCCCGGUUUAAGCGUGUAGGCUGGUUUUCCAGGCAAAUCCGGAAAACCAAGGCUGAGGCGUGAUGACGAGGCACUACGGUGCUGAAGCGACAAAUGCCCUGCUUCCAGGAAAAGCCUCUAAGCAUCAGGUAACAUCAAAUCGUACCCCAAACCGACACAGGUGGUCAGGUAGAGAAUACCAAGGCGCUUGAGAGAACUCGGGUGAAGGAACUAGGCAAAAUGGUGCCGUAACUUCGGGAGAAGGCACGCUGAUAUGUAGGUGAAGCGACUUGCUCGUGGAGCUGAAAUCAGUCGAAGAUACCAGCUGGCUGCAACUGUUUAUUAAAAACACAGCACUGUGCAAACACGAAAGUGGACGUAUACGGUGUGACGCCUGCCCGGUGCCGGAAGGUUAAUUGAUGGGGUUAGCGGUAACGCGAAGCUCUUGAUCGAAGCCCCGGUAAACGGCGGCCGUAACUAUAACGGUCCUAAGGUAGCGAAAUUCCUUGUCGGGUAAGUUCCGACCUGCACGAAUGGCGUAAUGAUGGCCAGGCUGUCUCCACCCGAGACUCAGUGAAAUUGAACUCGCUGUGAAGAUGCAGUGUACCCGCGGCAAGACGGAAAGACCCCGUGAACCUUUACUAUAGCUUGACACUGAACAUUGAGCCUUGAUGUGUAGGAUAGGUGGGAGGCUUUGAAGUGUGG
rnacentral:rRNA from 1 species